AUUGAACGCUGGCGGUAUGCUUAACACAUGCAAGUCGAACGGUAACAGGCCUUCGGGCGCUGACGAGUGGCGGACGGGUGAGUAACGCGUAGGAAUCUGCCUUAUAGUGGGGGACAACGUGGGGAAACCCACGCUAAUACCGCAUACGCCCUACGGGGGAAAGCGGGGGAUCGUAAGACCUCGCGCUAUGAGAUGAGCCUGCGUUAGAUUAGCUAGUUGGUAGGGUAAAGGCCUACCAAGGCGUCGAUCUAUAGCUGGUCUGAGAGGACGAUCAGCCACACUGGGACUGAGACACGGCCCAGACUCCUACGGGAGGCAGCAGUGGGGAAUAUUGGACAAUGGGCGCAGGCCUGAUCCAGCAAUACCGCGUGUGUGAAGAAGGCCUUAGGGUUGUAAAGCACUUUCAAUGGGGAGGAAAACCUGCCGGUCAAUACCCGGUAGCUUGACAUUACCUAUAGAAGAAGCACCGGCUAACUCCGUGCCAGCCGCCGCGGUAAGAC
rnacentral:rRNA from 1 species